rnacentral:rRNA from 1 species
UGAGUACGAGAUGCUACGGCAUCGAAGCAGUCUAUGUCAUACUUCCAAGAAAAGCUUGCAAUGUCAUAAACAAAUAAUGCCUGUACCAUAACCGACACAGGUGGGUAGGUAGAGUAUACUAAGGGGCGCGAGAUAACUCUCUCUAAGGAACUCGGCAAAAUGACUCCGUAACUUCGGGAGAAGGAGUGCCUUAUUUUUAUAAGGUUGCAAUAACAAGAUCCAAGCAACUGUUUACCAAAAACACAGGUCUCCGCUAAGUCGUAAGACGAUGUAUGGGGGCUGACGCCUGCCCAGUGCCAGAAGGUUAAAGAAGUUGGUUAGCAUUAGCGAAGCUGAUAACUGAAGCCCUGGUGAACGGCGGCCGUAACGAUAACGGUCCUAAGGUAGCGAAAUUCCUUGUCGGGUAAGUUCCGACCCGCACGAAAGGCGUAAUGAUUUGGAUACUGUCUCGGAGAGGGGCUCGGUGAAAUAGACUUGUCUGUGAAGAUGCGGACUACCUGCACCUGGACAGAAAGACCCUAUGAAGCUUUACUGUAACUUGAGAUUGAAAUUGGACUUUAUCUGCGCAGUAUAGGUGGGAGACGUUGAAAAUAUUCUUGCGGGAAUAUUGGAGUCAUCAGUGAGAUACCACUCUUAUAAUGUUAGAUUUCUAACUUUGUAUCAUUAUCUGGUCAAAGAACAGUUUCAGGCGGGCAGUUUGACUGGGGCGGUCGCCUCCCAAACGGUAACGGAGGCGCACAAAGGUUUCCUCUGAACGUGUAGAAAUCGUAUCUAGAGUGUAAAGGCAUAAGGAAGCUUGACUGUGAGACCUACAAGUCGAGCAGGGACGAAAGUCGGUCUUAGUAAUCUGACGGUGCUGAGUGGAAAGGCCGUCACUCAACGGAUAAAAGUUACUCUAGGAUAACAGGCUGAUCUCCCCCAAGAGUUCACAUCGACGGGGAGGUUUGGCACCUCGAUGUCGGCUCAUCGCAUCCUGGGGCGGUAGUACGUCCCAAGGGUUGGGCUGUUCGCCCAUGAAAGCGGUACGCGAGCUGGGUUCAGAACGUCGUGAGACAGUUCGGUCCAUAUCCGGUGUAGGCGUUAGAAUAUUGAGAGGAGCCUUCUUUAGUACGAGAGGACCGAGAAGGACAUACCUCUGGUGUACCAGUUAUCGUGCCAACGGUAAACGCUGGGUAGCCAUGUAUGGAGAGGAUAACCGCUGAAAGCAUCUAAGUGGGAAGCCCACCUCAAGAUAAGUAUUCUC